UGCAUCUGCCGGGAAUCGAACCCGGGCAGGCGAGGCAGGUGAGCAUUCUACCACUGAACCACCGAUGC
rnacentral:tRNA from 1 species